rnacentral:lncRNA from 1 species
AUGUCGGGUGUCCGCAGGGCGCAGCGCUGCCAGCGCGGUGCCUCCGAGCACCUUGGGACUGGGGUGGCACGGGCUGGCGUCCCCACGUGUCACCUUGCCCACCCCAUGGGGGAGCUUUGGGAACCCCAAGGUGAGGGGGCACGUCGUCGCACAGCCGUUCCCAGCACAGGCAGGCGUGCAAGCUUGCACGCUCCCCGCCGCACGUGUGCGCCCACGUGCUGGGCACUCACCGCCGUGUGGUGCAGAAGCCCCGGGGAAGAAGGCAGCGCACCCACCCUGCUGGCGCUGGGCUUCCCGCAGCACCUAGCCCCUGCACCGACCCCGAGCGGGACACGGCGAGGCCACGGCGGUGCCGCCGGCGAGUUCCCUGCCUGCCCAAUUCACCACCGCAAGGCGAGGAGGCUCGUGAGUGCGUCCCGGUUUCCUCCGGCGGUACCUCAGGAUGCGAUGCAGUCAUCGCUAAUGCAUCUGGACUCAUUUACAGGGAUGAGAAAAUGUUUCCAGGUUUCCCACAAAGUCCCAUUAAGAUCCCAGUAUGACUCUAUUUUUAGUGCCCGCAUCGACAACGCCUUCCCCAGCCACCCCGGCACUCUGGCGCGCCGCCCCGCGUGGCUCCAGGCACCCGCGGGGCACCCGGGGCCGUCGGUGCCAGCACCCGCCGUGGGGAGCGGGGCCACGCACGGGGCUGUGGGGUUGCGGGGGGCGAAGCCCCAGCUUUGUGCUCCCAGAGGAGCUGGGUGGAGGGGGAUGCGUGGCCCCAUCCUACAACCAAGCCUGCCUGCACCCGUUCGUGGCGCGCGGGGCAGCGGGGUUUUGCACAGCACCCACGGGUGCCCUCAGCACCCUGCUGCAGGGAUGUCUGCCGCAGCCCCCAGCAUGGCUUUUGCUCGAGAGUAUCUGCAUAAGGAAACGUGGUACGAAACAAAAGGAAAAUGGCCCCAGGAACCCAGGGGUGCAGGACCCUGCAGCAGGGCUGCGCACGCCCAUGGGCGCAGGAUCCCCGGCAGCACCAGCGCGGUGCCCGAUGCGUUCCCCGUGGCUCUGCUCAUUUCGGGGAGCCCCGCAGGGCUGCUGGCAGAGCUGGCCGAGGCGACGCUCGGAUCCUGCACAUGUAGGGUGCUGCAGGCUAUCUAUAGCAAUGACCUAACCGGGAGCCCGGCAGUGCCCGGCCCCGCACCUUCCCUUAUUGGUCCGGCCAGACCUGGUAAAGAGAUUAAAGCCGUCGCAGAGCCGAAGCUUUUAUCCCUUGACACGCUCGCUCCACCGCCGGGUUUCGAUUUCAAAGGCUGCACAUGGGCAGCUCGCAAAAGCCCCCUGUGCACUGGGGGAGCUCCGCGAAGCGAUGGCCGCAGCCGGGGGGCAGCGGGGUGCUGGGUGCCGAGGGCCCAGGCUCCCAGCCCGUGCUGCAGCCGCUGA